rnacentral:rRNA from 1 species
CUACGGGGUGCAGCAGUGGGGAAUAUUGGACAAUGGGGGAAACCCUGAUCCAGCAAUGCCGCGUGUGUGAAGAAGGCCUGCGGGUUGUAAAGCACUUUCGGUUGGGAGGACUGCUUCUAGCACUAAUAUUGUUGGAAGUUGACGUUACCUUCAGAAGAAGCACCGGCUAACUCCGUGCCAGCAGCCGCGGUAAUACGGAGGGUGCAGGCGUUAAUCGGAAUUACUGGGCGUAAAGCGCGCGUAGGCGGCUAGAUCAGUCGGGUGUGAAAGCCCCGGGCUUAACCUGGGAACUGCAUCCGAUACUGUCUAGCUUGAGUACAGGAGAGGAGAGUGGAGUUCCACAUGUAGCGGUGAAAUGCGUAGAUAUGUGGAGGAACACCAAUGGCGAAGGCAGCUCUCUGGCCUGAUACUGACGCUGAGGUGCGAAAGCGUGGGGAGCAAACAGGAUUAGAUACCCUAGUAGUC